CCCAGACUCCUACGGGAGGCAGCAGUGGGGAAUAUUGCACAAUGGGGGAAACCCUGAUGCAGCGACGCCGCGUGAGCGAUGAAGUAUUUCGGUAUGUAAAGCUCUAUCAGCAGGGAAGAAAAUGACGGUACCUGACUAAGAAGCCCCGGCUAACUACGUGCCAGCAGCCGCGGUAAUACGUAGGGGGCAAGCGUUAUCCGGAUUUACUGGGUGUAAAGGGAGCGUAGACGGUCCUGCAAGCCAGAUGUGAAAGCCCGGGGCUCAACCCCGGGACUGCAUUUGGAACUGUAAGGCUAGAGUGUCGGAGAGGCAGGCGGAAUUCCUAGUGUAGCGGUGAAAUGCGUAGAUAUCUGGAGGAACAUCAGUGGCGAAGGCGACUAUCUGGCACAUAACUGACGCUGAGGAGCGAAAGCGUGGGUAGCAAACAGGAUUAGAUACCCUUGUAA
rnacentral:rRNA from 1 species